rnacentral:rRNA from 1 species
CCUACGGGUGGCAGCAGUGGGGGAUAUUGCACAAUGGUGGGAACCCUGAUGCAGCGACGCCGCGUGGGUGAAGGAGCGUUUCGGCGCGUAAAGCCCUAUCGGCAGGGAAGAAGGAGGACGGUACCUGACCAAGAAGCCCCGGCCAACUACGUGCCAGCAGCCGCGGUAAUACGUAGGGGGCAAGCGUUAUCCGGAUUUACUGGGUGUAAAGGGGGCGCAGACGGGAGCGCAAGCCAGGAGUGAAAGCCCGGGGCCCAACCCCGGGACUGCUCUUGGAACUGGGCGGCUGGAGUGGGGGAGGGGCAGGCGGAAUUCCUGGUGUAGCGGUGAAAUGCGUAGAUAUCGGGAGGAACACCGGUGGCGAAGGCGGCCUGCUGGACUGCGACUGACGUUGAGGCCCGAAAGCGUGGGGAGCAAACAGGAUUAGAUACCCGAGUAGUC